GUACAUGGAGUUAUGAAAAAAGUGAGGUAGUUUACUUGGUAUUUGCUUUUAUUGUACAUAUUUUCUGAAUUAUAAGUCGCAGGUUUUGUUAUAGUUCUACCAGAGGUGCAAUUUAUACUCAGGAGCGACUUAUUUGUAAGUUUUUUUUUCAAUCAUAAAAAGGCUCGUGUUUAUGGAAGUGCAUUUAUGGUUGUUCCCACUGGCUCACACUAACAACCACUAGAGGGCACUAUAGGUGUAUGUAUCAGUAUUUGCUACUGUCAGCAAGGCAGGAGAAAAAGUAUCAUCUAAAAUCUAUGUCUAAAAUAAACAGAAUCUGAUCGUUUUCCCCCAACUUUUGCUUUUUUUCCAACCAAUUUUUCUUUUAUUUUCUCUUUCCUUGGUCAAAUGCAGGACAGCAAGUCAUCAAACUGAGGUACAGAGACAUUGAAGAACUGCAAAAAAAUGCGAUUGUUCAUGCGCAGCUCCCAGAAAGUAAAACAGUGACAACCAAGCAGAGACGACUGCUGUUGGCCACACCCUGCUACACUACAGGUGAGCAACUCGAUGAACUCAAGGGUAUUCCCGUACUUCUGAAGGAGCUCGCACAGAUCCUGAAUGAACCAGGAGCCAUUGACGGUAUUUCGGUGGGAAAAGAAACCUAAAGAAACAAAACAGGGAAAAAAGGUUACAUUUCUGCUAAGUCAUUCAUUCAUCUUCUUGCCCGCUUUGUCCCUUUCGGGUCGCGGUGGUGCUGGAGCCUAACCUAGCUGCUGACGGGCAAAGCCAAGAUCCUCCAGCCGGGAUUUGAAUCGGGGUCUUCUUGCAGUGAGGCAAGAGCGCUAACCACUGUGCCACCGUACAGCCAUUUUUCAGCUAUACACCAAGAGUCUUCGACCGUUGUCCUACACCCUGCGCCUAACCUGCAGCUGCUUUUCGGCCUCAGGAGAACCACCUUUGUCUGCUGAGCUUUGUCUGACAGUCCAGUCCAAGUCAAGCUUCCAGCCACUCUGGUGAGGAGACCCUCUCAGCCAAACAGUUGUGGUAGCCAUGGCAGAUGUGUUUGAAGAGCUUCUAAUUUCCCAAGAACCACGCAGAAAAGUGCCGUUCAAGAAAAGACACUGCUUAAAAAGCAACCAGCUCUACCUCCAGGAUGACGCUGAUGGUCUGACACUUUUUAGUCCCUCCUUUACAGAAAGUAAAACAGCGUUAACCAAGCAGAGACGACUGCUGUUGGCCACACCUUGCUACACUACAGGAAUAUGGAGAGAAAAUAGACUCAUCCGAUUUGUGUUUGGAGCUUGGUCCUACAUGGUUGGUACAAGAGAUCAGCAUCGGAGGAGCAAAGAGAACGAGACGGGGUGUGUCGGUGGAGCACAUCAGUAAGGAGGCCCGCUGACUAUCCAGGUAUGGCUUGCAUCCCAAGUGCAUGACAGCGUCGAAAAGGAGCGUCACUGCAGACUCACAUGCUGUGGAGACAGAAGAUGGAAUGCAAGAACAUGAGGAGACAUCUCAAAGGGAAAAUGUGUAUUUAUGCUAGCAAGUUACUGACGGAAAACCGCCUCCAAAGAACAUGUUGAAGAGGUCCUCAGGAGUGAUGUCGGCCUCAAAGCCUCUGUGGAAGUCGAAGCCUCCCCUGUGCGAGUGGCUCGGACUGCUUGGCUCCUCCCCUCCCGUCAGGUCAUACUGCCGUCUUUUCUCCGGGUUGCUAAGAACCGCGUAAGCAUUACCAAUCUCUGGAGAAGAAAAAUGAAUAAAGUUAGCAAAAAAAUC